rnacentral:rRNA from 1 species
AUUGAACGCUGGCGGCAGGCCUAACACAUGCAAGUCGAGCGGAUGAAGGGAGCUUGCUCCUGGAUUCAGCGGCGGACGGGUGAGUAAUGCCUAGGAAUCUGCCUGGUAGUGGGGGAUAACGUCCGGAAACGGGCGCUAAUACCGCAUACGUCCUGAGGGAGAAAGUGGGGGAUCUUCGGACCUCACGCUAUCAGAUGAUCCUAGGUUGGAUUAGCUAGUUGGUGGGGUAAAGGCGUACCAAGGCGACGAUCCGUAACUGAUCUGAGAGGAUGAUCAGUCACACUGGAAGUGAGACACGGUCCAGACUCCUACGGGAGGCAGCAGUGGGGAAUAUUGGACAAUGGGCGAAAGCCUGAUCCAGCCAUGCCGCGUGUGUGAAGAAGGUCUUCGGAUUGGAAAGCACUUUAAGUUGGGAGGAAGGGCAGUAAGUUAAUACCUUGCUGUUUUGACGUUACCAACAGAAUAAGCACCGGCUAACUUCGUG